CAAAAUAGAUUGAACUCGACGGAUGUUUCAUCAAAAUCAGAUCGCGAAAAAGGGGAUAGCUAUGGUUUGUUCUUGGCAGAAAUUUGAGGAGUUAAAGUUCGUUUUUGGGCAGUAAUUCUAGGAGAAAAUAUACACAUCACGAGGAAGCAAAGCUUAACAAUCCAGGUGCUACUAAGAUUCUCAUUCAAUUGAGGAUUUCGGUUUUGUCGACACCUUAUUAGAGAAAUGAAUUCACAAAUCAGUUAGGGAUUGUUUCAAAUAUUGUUUUCCGAUUCUAUUUGCACUAAAUCAGGGAGUGGAUGUGGCCUGAUUUCAGUGGGUCUUAUGCAGUAAAACGAGGAAGAAUAUACAACACUUUGGAGAGAUUAUUUUUCAAAUCAACAACAGAUUUUGACGAGAAUAAAGGAUGGGGUUUUGUUGUACUGAAUGAAGAGGUAGAUAAGGGUUGGUUCAGUUGUUUUAGGCAUGAAGUUAGGACUGAUUUGUGGAGAUGGACUAGAAGUUAGAGAAGAAGUCAAGUUGUUGCUGUAUAAAAGGAGAAGAAGAAGAAACCAAGAGGGAGUAAGAUAGGUUUAAAGGCGACAGUUAGGAGCUGGCUACGGUUGCAGGAGACAGGUGCCAAUUGUUUUUGUUGUGGGUAGGCUGAAAUUUAGCCUAAAUCGCAGCGGUUUGAUAACAUUGUACCUGUUUCUUGUUCCUCUUUUAGUUGCUGCUUUGUUUUCCUGUCGCAUUUUGUUUUGAUUAGUUGCUGGGUUGCUUUACAAGUGUAUGCAAUAUUCUAGGUCUGAUCAUUUUAAUCGAUUACAUAACAA